UGGAAACAUGAUGUAUUUAUUCAGCAUGUCUCUCCCCAAAACACUUAGUGGCUGAGAACUCGCCUUAAAAAAAUACACAAAAUGGUCAAAGAAAAUGUUGAAAUCUAAAAUAAGGUUCAGAUAUGUAUCCAGCUGUUCUAUCAACUUUCUAUAAAACAUUUAAAAAAAAAUCAAUAAUCGAAAUUUGAUUCAUCGCCCAGCCCUAGGGAGCAGUAGUGUGUGCGGUUGUCUGUGGUGUGUUGUGUUGUCAGUGCGCUACAGGGUUUGUGUUGUGUCCCACAGCGUAACAGCCGUUUCAGGCUCUUGGAGGCGGAAUGCAGAAAGGCCAUCGAUGUGGGGGUAGCCAGACGGCAGAAGGAGAUGGGGCUCGGAGAAAAGACUCCCAAAGUCACAACCAUCAAGCAGGCCCGUGAGGAGUUGCUGGAGCUGAGGAGCUCGGAGGGCAAGCUGGCGCGACUCAAUGUCGCGGCCUCACCGAGGAGGCAGCGAGGGGAACGCAUCAGGGCUCUGGCCCUCAGGACAGGGAGGUCAGAGGCGUCCGUCUCCAGAGAACUGCUGCUGCUGUCCAAUGGGAACGCGCAACCUGGACGGACAGGAAGUGAUCCGCCGUCGGCUCCCGAGGUCGUGGCUCGGAUGGAAGAGACGGACUCCGAUGAGGAGAACCUUCCCUCAGACACGCGCGACUACAUCGGCAGCAGCGUCCGUGGUGACGGCAAGGUCGACAUUGAGGCAUUGGCGGAUGACGUAUCAAAUACCGUGGAUGACAAGAAGUGUCUGGUCACGGCCUUCAAGUCUCUACGCUCUGAACUCAACUGUAUGACCGCAACCAAAACGGAACUCCUGGCCUCGGCCUGCAGCGUGAUCUGUGAUCUGAAGGACGAGGAGAAGCUCUGUGAGAAGGUUAUGGUGGCCCUGAGACACCAGCGAGCCCGCCUCAUCAACACCAUCUCUGUUAGAUCUGGGAGGUCAACCAGGAAGAUCCUGGAGAAGCUUCAGAGCAUCACAGCCAAGCAGCGGCAGCUGGAGGUGAGGCGACCCAGAUUCCUUCCAGCAGAGACCGCCACGCCGCUGGACCUCUCGUCCACCACCAGACCACGGAGCCAGCUCCCAGCUCCACCCUGUGCUGCACAGCUGGAUCCGCCGCCCCCCCCUCCUACAGCCAGGUCCCCCCACAGUGCUACCAGGCUGAAGACCGUGCCCAACAUCCUGACCCGAAGGAAGCCGCCCUCUCCGCCUUUGUCCCCCUCGCCGUCCCCUCCCGUCGGGUGGAGCGAGAGUAGAGAAGCUCCGGCCUUCCACACCUCCAUGAUGCCAGCCGGCCUUGUUUCCUUCCUGUGUCCGUUACCAGGGCAACAGGUCCUCACACUGAAGCACAUGGCGUAUGAACCGGGAGCCCCGCCUCCAAACCCAGGUGUGGCUUCAGUCAGCCUAGAUAUCGCUUACCCAGCCAAUGAAAACAUACCUCCCCCCUGCGUGUCCCGCCCCUCCAGCAGCAAUGGUCCUUUCACCACCCUCUUGUACCUGGUGCCCUCAAACACAGCCCUGCAACAACUACAGGGGCCGGCAGUCGAGGAACCUGGGUCCCUACCCCAGCCCCAGACCCUCCAGGCUGGGUCCCUACCCCACCCCCAGACCCUCUUCUCUGCUGGGUCUCAACCCCACCAGACCCUCUUCUCUGCUGGGGCACCACCACCACCCCACCAGACCUUCCCUGCUGGAUCGAUACCCCACCCCCAGACCCUCCCCUCUGGGGUGCCUGUGGCCAAACUUGAAGAGUGUGGGCCCAGGCCCCCGGGCCCCGUCCUGCCCGCGGCCGCCCCCCCCUCGGAGACCCGGCCCGCACUGCUGAUCCCGGACGGGGGUAAGGCCCUCUUCCCUCCCCUGAACCAGCUCUCCUUCCUCAAAGCAAACAUUGGCUCGCCGGCAGACCGGACCGCGCUCUCGUUUGUGCCCGGACACCCGUUCUCAUCCCUGGGCCGUGAGCCCCACAAAGACGGACCCCUCGGACCCUCCCUGUCCACUGAGGACCUGACGGAGGCCACGCAGGUCGACACUCACCUGGAGAAUGCAGCUGGCCCGGAGCCCAACGGUUGCCACGCACUACACUACCCACAAUGCAGUUCAACGAGUGGUACGCUGACACUGCCCCCGCUGCUGCAGAUGAAUGUGGGCGGAGCCAAAGUGAGCGAGUCCACCAAUAAGAGAGCAGUGGGUGCGUGGAAGCCUAUGCCCCGCCUCGCUGCUAUGGGGGUGAAGGGGGGGACCCCCCAUCUGACCUCUGCCCCCUGA
rnacentral:lncRNA from 1 species